ACCAGGAUGGCCGAGUGGUUAAGGCGUUGGACUUAAGAUCCAAUCCCUCGUGGGUUCGAACCCCACUCCUGGUA